rnacentral:lncRNA from 1 species
UCCUUUGGUGCAUAAACAGGGGAAUUUCGAGUAGGACUAAAGAGGUAUUUGACCUCUGUGUUUGGCACUGGUGUACCUGAUGCUGAAAUACUGUGUCCAGUUCUGGUGUCCUCAAUUGAAGAAGGCUCUUGAUAAAUUGGAGAGUGUUAAGAGAAGAACCAUGAGAAUGAUUACAUGAUUAGAAAUCAUGCCUUAUAGUGAAACAGUCAAAGAGCUCAAUUUAUUUAGCUUAUCAAAGAGAAGGUUAAGGGGUGACUUGAUCACAGCCUUUAAAUAUCUUGUUGGGGAACAGAUAUAUGAUGCUGGGCUCUUCAUGCUAGCAGACAAAGGUAUAACAAGAUCAAUUGGCUGGAAGUUGAAGCUAGACAAAGUCAGACUGGAACUAAAGCAUAAAUUUUUAACAGUGAGGGUAAUUAACCAUUGGAACUGUAAAAAAAUGUAUAAUGAAUCAUGUUAGAUAAAUGUCUAUUAAAUAAUGUUAGAGACAUAGUUAUAUACUGUAUUUAAUAGUGUUAUAAGAAAAUGUAAAAGGGAAUUCUGCUUUCUGCAUGGGUCUUGUUGACACAGCUUUUAAAACUCUGCUAAAACAAGUUCAAAGGUUGUGAAAAUCAGAAGGUUGGUGUGUGUCUUAUCUGUGGUCUGUGUAGAUAACAGAGCAAAGCAAACUAGACAAAUGUGUGAUUUACUAGCCAGGUGCAGAUUUCCCUAGUAAACAAGACUUGGGAAGACGGAUAUUGACUGAAGAGAACGAGCCAACUCCAAUUCCAAGAAGCAGAUAAAUGGGAUGCUGGAUGAGGGCCCUUCUCUGCAGGAACUCAGUUGGCACUUGCAACGCCAGCUGUCCCGAGCAGACGUCAAUGCUGGAAUGUGGCAAGGGAUCCCCUUCCAGAAGUCAAGUGUGCUGCCGGAAAUGAUAGUAGCUAUUAAUACUGCUGAAUUUUUACAUUUAAAAAUUGCUUUCAGUUCUUUUGAUCAAGUUGAGCCCAAGUUGAAAGAAGGGUUACAGAGACCUCAGCAAAGAUAUGUGAUUGGGUAUACAAAUCCACUCUGGACACCAAGGGGUUAAGGAGCUGCUCUGGGAUCAGCCAGCUAGGCCCCUGGCCACCUGCAAGGCAUGUACAGGCCAGAGGAGAAGCUUUAAAGUGGAGCAGCCACAGGUAAGAUACCCCCUGUUGAGAAAGAGCUACUAUACCAUGCCUGGCCACACGGAGGUGCCAAUGGUAAGUUGACCUUUCA